AUGAAUGUGCAGCAUCAGAGGGCCCCAGGGACUCUACUCGAGGAACUGUCAGAUACAGAGAGAGACAGUGCAGGCAAGAAAGUCACUCAACCACAAUCAGCAAUGACUGGACAAGAGGGGGAGGCUGUGACACUGAGCUGCAAGUAUGACACCAGUGAAAGUUAUUAUACUCUGUUCUGGUAUAAACAGCUUCCCAGAGGGGAGAUGAUUUUCCUUAUUCAUCAAGAUUCUUAUAACCAAGAAAAUGCGAGUAGAGAUCGAUAUUUGGUGAACUUUCAGAAAACAAACAGAUCCAUCACUUUCACUAUUGUGGCCUCCCAGCUGCAAGACUCAGCAAUGUAUUUCUGUGUUCUCAGCCUGAGCACAGUGAGAAGAGUUGUAGGUGGCACCAUACAGAAAGAUCAGGGCACACUGUGA